rnacentral:rRNA from 1 species
CCUACGGGAGGCAGCAGUGGGGAAUAUUGGGCAAUGGGCGCAAGCCUGAUGCAGCAACGCCGCGUGAAGGAAGAAGGCUUUCGGGUUGUAAACUUCUUUCGUCAGGGAAGAGUAGAUGACGGUACCUGACGAAGAAGCCACGGCUAACUACGUGCCAGCAGCCGCGGUAAUACGUAGGUGGCAAGCGUUGUCCGGAUUUACUGGGUGUAAAGGGCGUGCAGCCGGGAAGACAAGUCAGAUGUGAAAUCCCGCGGCUCAACCGCGGAACUGCAUUUGAAACUGGUUUUCUUGAGUGCCGGAGAGGUAAGCGGAAUUCCUGGUGUAGCGGUGAAAUGCGUAGAGAUAAGGAAGAACACCAGUGGCGAAGGCGGAUGACUGGACGGCGACUGACGGUGAGGCGCGAAAGCGUGGGGAGCAAACAGGAUUAGAUACCCCAGUAGUC